GGUGAACGCUGGCGGCGUGCUUAAGACAUGCAAGUCGAACGGCAGUUUUCGGACUGUAGUGGCGCACGGGUGAGUAACGCGUAACUGACCUACCCCAAAGUCGCGGAUAACGAUUCGAAAGAAUCGCUAAUACGUGAUGUGCUGUCAGAUGGUGUUCUGCCAGGAAAGAUUGAUUGCUUUGGGAUGGGGUUGCGUUCCAUCAGCUAGUUGGUGGGGUAAAGGCCCACCAAGGCGACGACGGAUAGCCGGCCUGAGAGGGUGGCCGGCCACAGGGGCACUGAGACACGGGUCCCACUCCUACGGGAGGCAGCAGUUAGGAAUCUUCCACAAUGGGCGAAAGCCUGAUGGAGCGACGCCGCGUGAGGGAUGAAGGUCUUCGGAUCGUAAACCUCUGAAUCAGGGACGAAAGACACUUCGGUGGGAUGACGGUACCUGAGUAAUAGCACCGGCUAACUCCGUGCCAGCCGCCGCCGUAAGAC
rnacentral:rRNA from 1 species